UGUAAUUCCGAAUGAAUGAUGGCACCAUACGUUUUAAUAAACUGCGCUAAGAUUGGCCGCUUAGCUAAUCGGGGAUAACAUUUUUCUCCAUACAGACUAAGCGAGAAAAUUCGCUCAAUGGCAAAUUUCGAUUGAAUGUCCUGAACGUAUCGAUAUUUUGGACGAAGAGCACACGAAUACAUUUUCGAAUGCCGUGAUUAGGCUCCAGACCUUUUCCUGACUUGUGUCACACUGAAUCAAGGUACGGCCUACGUGGUUGCUAAGACACCAGAUGGCAGAUAAAUACAUACACAACAAUGGAUACAGCGAUACAACAACAAUUGGUAGCGAUCAAGAUCAGACAAUCUUCCCAUAAUUCUCAUCAUCGACCGAAAACCUGACUUCACAAUCUCUAAGCGCAGGACGUAUAUCGAUCAGAAGAAGUCCGAUUGGGCUGGCUUCAGAGAGUACACCAAUCACAGCUCGAAUGUGCUAGUUGUCGAGAGAAAAUUCCGAGACAUCAUUAACGCACCAGCCGGUCGAAUAUCACAAGUGCAGCCCAAUUUCCUGUCCAAGGCAGUGGUACUCGCUGACGAGCGUGAUGGAAUUCUUUGCACGGACCCCACUAACCCCAGAAUCAACGAGCUGAAUCUGGAAAUAAACAGGGUAGUGAACAAACAUAGCGGAAUUUGUGGCUGGAACACAUGGAGCAAUGUAACUUAGGCACCGGUUUAGGCAACUUGCGGUUUGCUGUUAAGUCAUUCUCGAAGCCCGGUAGACGGGAUGACAGGACUUCAGUUACUUUUGGCGACGUAACUGUGAUUGAUCCGAAGAGAUGCGCCAGGUUAUUCAACCGCAAAUUUAUUGUGCAUCCCGAGAGUGACAGGACUAGGAGGAGAGCCAUCAUAAUUUACCAUGGGCGAAGUUACGAAUAUCAUUCGUGGCGCCAUAUCAUCCAAGGCGUUGGGCCCCGACGGAAUCUCUAUACUGAUGCUGAAGAAUCUGGAUCUACCUCGAGUUGAAUACCUUACUACCGUCCUCAACCUGUCUUUGAAGACUCAUAUAGUUCCCGAUGUCUGAAAAAUGGGCAGAGUUAUCCCGCUACUGAAGCCUGGAAAGUACCCGAGUUUGGAAGAGUCGUACAGACCGAUCUCCGUUCUCUCACCAGUAGACAAGAUGCUUUAGGCAUUACCCAAUGGAUUUCGAAGACUGCAUAGCACAACAACUGCUUUGCAUGCUAUCACUGCACAUAUUUGCCGUGUGAAAGGACGAUCCUCAUGGCAUUGGGCCUAUCGAAGGCAUUCGACACGAUCAGCCAUGCCAAACUAUUUGAGGACAUUCCGAACACGUCUCUCCAGUCUUGAAUGAUCUGUGUGAUCGCCAGUCAUUUGUUGAAUUUAGGGAUAAGAAGUUGAAACACCGUAGAGUGAUACAGGCAGUUCCCCUAGGCGGGGUGAUAACUCCAGCAUUGUUUAACCUUUACCUGUCCUCCAUUUCACGCUCUCCAGGCGGAAUAGUCGAUUGAGAAACGACUCUCUCAUGCCACAACAAUUUGCGAUAAGGACAAAAGUAGAAGCAAGGUCCUAAAAGCACUUGCCGGCAGCACUUGGCGUGUUGACCACGUAUAACGCAAUUGGCCGGUCUGUCAUAAGUUAUGCAGAGCGGGUGUGGUCUUGUCAGCUAUGUUACACACAGUGGAAUAAUAUUCAGAUCAGUCAGAAUGCCGCUCUCCGAACGACGGGCUGUCUCCUCAGAUCUCAUGUGUACCACCUCCAUCAGAAAACAAAAAUCCUACUUGUGCGAAGACAUAACUACAUUUGGUAGCCACCGCCCAGAAGCCUUAAGGUGAAUUUACAUCAUAGAUGGGCAGCAUACACAUCCGCACCUAAAUACAAAUGAAUAGAAGCAGACGUAUUAGUGUGCCCAUCAUUGAUCUAUAUGAUCUGGAGCAUGAGGUUCAGCGCUAUAAGAGAGAAUCUCUAAAUUAAGCGGCAUAUCAAGCGUGUCUACCCAACAUUCAUGCAGACACGGUAGCAGAUGCGGUGAAUAGCUACCAGAUCCCUCUGGGUCUCACCCCACCUGCAACUAAAGUGAGUUCCUGAAUCUGGAUAAUGAACAGAAUCAAGCAGUCGAAAGAUAGAACACACACACUGCUAAAACAACAGAAUUUAAUACUGGAAAUUUGAAUUUCUUUCCUUAUUGUAAACAAUUAUAUUGCUUACCAUUGUAA